rnacentral:tRNA from 1 species
GGGGUAUAGCUCAGUUGGGAGAGCACCUGCCUUGCAAGCAGGGGGUCAAGGGUUCGAAUCCCUUUAUCUCCA